AGUUCGGAUUGUAGUCUGCAACCCGACUACAUGAAGCUGGAAUCGCUAGUAAUCGCGGAUCAGAAUGCCGCGGUGAAUACGUUCCCGGGUCCUUGUACACACCGCCCGUCACACCAUGGGAGUCGGAAAUGCCCGAAGUCAGUGACCCAACCGUAAGGAGGGAGCUGCCGAAGGUGGAGCCGGUAACUGGGGUGAAGUCGUAACAAGGUACC
rnacentral:rRNA from 1 species